GGAAAAUUAUCAAAUUUUGACCUCAUAUCAAGUAAGAUCACCCGCUGAACUUAAGCAUAUCAAUAAGCGGAGGAAAAGAAACCAACAGGGAUUCCCUUAGUAACGGCGAGUGAACCGGGAAAAGCUCAAAUUUGAAAUCUGCCAACAGGCCGAGUUGUAAUUUGUAGAUGGCUACACUGCAUAAUAGUAGAUGCUCAAGUUCUUUGGAAAAAGACAUCAUGGAGGGUGACAAUCCCGUGAGGCAUGUUACUAGGAGCAUAUAGUGGGCUUUCUAAGAGUCGAGUUGUUUGGGAAUGCAGCUCAAAGUGCGUGGUGAAUACCAUGUAAAGCUAAAUAUGGACGAGAGACCGAUAGCGAACAAGUACUGUGAAGGAAAGAUGAAAAGCACUCCGAAAGGAGAGUGAAAUAGUACGUGAAAUUGUUAAAGUGGAAGGGCUUGAGAUCAGAAUUGGUAGUUUGGGUUCCACGUCCUCUUGGGGGCGUGUACUCCCUUUCCACCGGGCCAGCGGGAGUUUCGUCUCUUGGGUAAAAGCAGUGGAAUGUAGCAGCUUGUCUGUAUUAUAGCCUCUGUUCAUACAAGACGUCGAGACUUGAUUUGUUGGCGUAAUGAUCUCUAGCCACCCGUCUUGAAACACGGACCAAGGAGUCUAUUGCCUAUGCGAGUGUUUGGGUGGAAAACCCU
rnacentral:rRNA from 1 species